GACGAACACUGGCGGCGUGCUUAACACAUGCAAGUCGAACGGUAAGGCCCUUCGGGGUACACGAGUGGCGAACGGGUGAGUAACACGUGGGUGAUCUGCCCUGCACUUCGGGAUAAGCCUGGGAAACUGGGUCUAAUACCGGAUAGGACUCCUGGCUUCAGGGUUGGGGGUGGAAAGCGUUUGCGGUGUGGGAUGGGCCCGCGGCCUAUCAGCUUGUUGGUGGGGUGAUGGCCUACCAAGGCGACGACGGGUAGCCGGCCUGAGAGGGUGACCGGCCACACUGGGACUGAGAUACGGCCCAGACUCCUACGGGAGGCAGCAGUGGGGAAUAUUGCACAAUGGGCGCAAGCCUGAUGCAGCGACGCCGCGUGAGGGAUGACGGCCUUCGGGUUGUAAACCUCUUUCAGCACAGACGAAGCGCAAGUGACGGUAUGUGCAGAAGAAAGACCGGCCAACUACGUGCCAGCCGCCGCAGUAA
rnacentral:rRNA from 1 species